CCUGGGACUGGCGUCCCAGGCUAUCAAAUGCCGUGGCUUCGCCACU
rnacentral:sRNA from 1 species